rnacentral:rRNA from 1 species
AUUGAACGCUGGCGGCAUGCUUUACACAUGCAAGUCGAACGGUAACAGGCCUUCGGGUGCUGACGAGUGGCGAACGGGUGAGUAAUGCAUCGGAACGUACCCAGAGGUGGGGGAUAACGCAGCGAAAGCUGUGCUAAUACCGCAUGUGAUCUGAGGAUGACAGCGGGGGACCGCGCAGCAAUGUUUGGCCUCGCGCCUUUGGAGCGGCCGAUGUCGGAUUAGCUAGUUGGUGGGGUAAAGGCCUACCAAGGCGACGAUCCGUAGCUGGUCUGAGAGGACGACCAGCCACACUGGGACUGAGACACGGCCCAGACUCCUACGGGAGGCAGCAGUGGGGAAUUUUGGACAAUGGGCGCAAGCCUGAUCCAGCAAUGCCGCGUGCGGGAAGAAGGCCUUCGGGUUGUAAACCGCUUUUGGCAGGAACGAAACGGUGUCCGCUAAUACCGGGCGCUAAUGACGGUACCUGCAGAAUAAGCACCGGCUAACUACGUG